UACGAAGGGGGCCAGCGUUGUUCGGAAUUACUGGGCGUAAAGCGCACGUAGGCUGACUUUUAAGUCAGGGGCGAAAUCCCGGGGCUCAACCUCGGAACUGCCUUUGAUACUGGAAGUCUUGAGUCCGAGAGAGGUGAGUGGAACUCCGAGUGUAGAGGUGAAAUUCGUAGAUAUUCGGAAGAACACCAGUGGCGAAGGCGGCUCACUGGCUCGGUACUGACGCUGAGGUGCGAAAGCGUGGGGAGCAAAC
rnacentral:rRNA from 1 species